AAAGUCGUAACAAGGUAACCGUAGGUGAACCUGCGGUUGGAUCAUUAUAAAAGAAUACCAAGCAUGAGGAAAGUUGGAAGUUCAAGCGUGAAACAAUCGCCAAUUCAACCGACUAGUACCAUGAUUGAUAUACCAUUUGUGAACUGAACUGUCUCUGGCAGGAGGGUAGCGUAAAGCUGCUUGUCAGCAAAUGCUCUUUUGCACUUGCCGUGGACAUCCUGUCAACCACUUCCAUAACUUUUACAAACUACUUUGAUGUCUGACAUAACCUGUAUAAAAUACAUAAAACAACUUUUGGCAACGGAUCUCUUGGCUCUC
rnacentral:misc_RNA from 1 species